rnacentral:rRNA from 1 species
GUGUUGUUGGGUAGGGGAGCGUUCUGUAAGCCUGUGAAGGUGUACUGUGAGGUAUGCUGGAGGUAUCAGAAGUGCGAAUGCUGACAUAAGUAACGAUAAAGCGGGUGAAAAGCCCGCUCGCCGGAAGACCAAGGGUUCCUGUCCAACGUUAAUCGGGGCAGGGUGAGUCGACCCCUAAGGCGAGGCCGAAAGGCGUAGUCGAUGGGAAACAGGUUAAUAUUCCUGUACUUGGUGUUACUGCGAAGGGGGGACGGAGAAGGCUAUGUUGGCCGGGCGACGGUUGUCCCGGUUUAAGCGUGUAGGCUGGUUUUCCAGG